rnacentral:rRNA from 1 species
GUGAGUGGCUAAGCGAAAGAGAUAAGUAUCCCACCUGGUGAGUACGUUAGCAUGAAAGUAAAUCAAAGGAAUGGGGGGGGGCCCGCACAAGCGAUGGAGCAUGUGAUUUAGUUGGAUGAUGCGCGACGAACCUUACCAGUGACUAAAUGUGGAGCUCAUAGAGUAGAGAUAUUCUUUUAUUAAGCAUAUUUCCAAGGUGGCACAUGGUUGUUGUCAGCUCGUGCCGAGAGGUGUCAGGAUAAGUCAUAUAAAGAGCGCACCCCACCUUUUUUGUCCCCAGAGUGUCUUGUCAGGAAUUAUAACAAGACUGCCAGUGCAAAGGGUGAAGAAGGUGGGGAUGACGUCAAAUCAUCACCGCCCUUACGUGGUGGGCUACACACGUGCAACAAUGGUAGGUACAGAGGGCCGGUACCCCGGGAGGGGACAAGAAUCUUUAAAACCUAUCUCAGUUCGGAUCGGAGUCUGCAACUCGUCUCCGUGAAGCGGGAAUCGCUUGUAAUCGGAUAUCAGCCAUGAUCCGGUGAAUACGUUCCCGGGCCUUACACACACCGCCCGUCAAGCCAUGGAAGCUGAAAGUGCCUGAAGUCCGUCACCGCAAGGAGCGGCCUAGGGUAAAGUUGGUAACUAGGGCUAAGUCGUAACAAGGUACC